UUGACCAUGGUUGGAACCACGGUUGACCAUGGUUGGGACCACGGUUGACCAUGGUUCGAACCAUGGUUGACCAUGGUUCUAACAAUG
rnacentral:sRNA from 1 species